rnacentral:rRNA from 1 species
UACCAGCACCCCGAGUGGUCGGGACGAUUAUUGGGCCUAAAGCAUCCGUAGCCGGUUUUACAAGUCUUCCGUUAAAUCCAGCUGCUUAACAGAUGGGCUGCGGAGGAUACUAUAAGACUAGGAGGCAGGAGAGGCAAGCGGUACUCAGUGGGUAGGGGUAAAAUCCGUUGAUCCAUUGAAGACCACCAGUGGCGAAGGCGGCUUGCCAGAAUGCGCUCGACGGUGAGGGAUGAAAGCUGGGGGAGCAAACCGG